rnacentral:sRNA from 1 species
GCGGCGGGGCUUCAUGCAAAAUUCGGCUACAACGCAAGUCCGAACACUUGGAGACCCGGAGUCUAAAAGGAUGGCUGAUGCAGGAAAAACAGCGACUCCCUGGGAUUUGUGUAAAGCCAUGACGCAGUAUGGAUUUGACAGGAAAAAUAACAUCUAUGAAUGUAUGCUGGACAGACAGUUAUUUGUUUCAGUAGUUUUGAUAUGUAGAAUAUCAGCAGUGUUGACACAAAACUGUUCAAUUUCACACUAUGUUCACGAUUGUGGAAAUAAGGGAUUGCUGUGGAACUGCAGUGGAUCUAACAUCUCCAAAUUACCAACAGUGUUGCCUCCUGAAUUGGAAAAUAGCAAUACUGCGUUGGAUAUAUCGUACAAUCAAUUCACUUCUCUGACAAAAGAUACAUUUGAAGCAAUAGCGGCCUACUCCAAGUCAUUAAAAUGGAUGAAAAAUCACCAAAUUUCAUUUCCAGAUCUUGGCAAAGUUCUAUGUGUGGAAAACAACCACCAUGUUGGUCAUUUAUUCAACAUCGAAAUAUGGCGGAAAUUCGAACUAGACUGCCAGCCAAACGAUUGGCUCAUAUUUUCUAUCGUAUUGCUGUUUCUGAUAAUGUUAAUAUUCACAAGUAUUGCUGCUAUCAAAAGAUACCGUGUCCAUCUAGAAUAUGUAAUUCUUAGACUGAAAAAACAAUGGAAAGGUAUACCUUUACGAAAAAGUGAAGACGAGUUUUUGUUUGAUGUGUAUGUAUCAUACAGUGAAUCGGACUACGAAUGGGUCAGAGAUAAACUUCGUCCAAAAUUAGAAGAUUUAAACGUAAAAUCAUGGAUAACAGAUAUAAAUUCCACUCCAGGCCGCUGGGUAUUAGAAGGGAUUGUGAAUCGUAUUAACGAGUGCAGGAAAGUAAUGUUUGUUGUAAGUGAGAGUUUUUUGGACAUGGAGUGGUCUUCAUAUGCUGUUAAAACAGCCAUCACCCAUGCUUUCCAUAAUCAACGACAGGGGUUUAUUGUGGUUUUGAUUAAAGAUGGGGUUGCUCUUGAAAAGCUUCCAGAGGAACUGAAAAACAUAUGGUGGUGCAUUGAAUACUUCAGAUGGCCUGACGAAGAGGAAAGUAACGAAGUUAUACUCAAGAAACUGGCCAAAACACUUAAAUCCGAUAUAACUGUUUGAGUGAAAUAUGAUUCGAAUAAACAGAUGAAUCUUUGGGCUAGAUAUUUAUGAAACGCUUUUAAUUGUAAAUUAUGGGAAUUUUAUUUUCCUUAAUAUGUGUAAGAAUAUAGUAUUUUGUGGAAAAAA